rnacentral:rRNA from 1 species
GACGAACGCUGGCGGCGUGCCUAAUACAUGCAAGUCGAACGAACCGCGACUAGGUGCUUGCACUUGGUCAAGGUGAGUGGCGAACGGGUGAGUAACACGUGGGUAACCUACCUCAUAGUGGGGGAUAACAGUCGGAAACGACUGCUAAUACCGCAUAGGACAUAGGAUCACAUGAUUCUGUGAGGAAAGGUGGCGCAAGCUAUCGCUAAGAGAUGGACCCGCGGUGCAUUAGCUAGUUGGUAGGGUAAAGGCCUACCAAGGCGAUGAUGCAUAGCCGACCUGAGAGGGUGAUCGGCCACAUUGGGACUGAGACACGGCCCAAACUCCUACGGGAGGCAGCAGUAGGGAAUCUUCCGCAAUGGACGCAAGUCUGACGGAGCAACGCCGCGUGAGUGAAGAAGGUCUUCGGAUCGUAAAGCUCUGUUGUUAGAGAAGAACAGCGCAUAGAGUAACUGUUAUGCGUGUGACGGUACCUAACCAGAAAGCCACGGCUAACUACGUG